UACGAAGGGGGCUAGCGUUGCUCGGAAUCACUGGGCGUAAAGGGUGCGUAGGCGGGUCUUAAGUCAGGGGUGAAAUCCUGGAGCUCAACUCCAGAACUGCCUUCGAUACUGGCAAUCUCGAGUCCGGAAGAGGUUGGUGGAACAGCUAGUGUAGAGGUGAAAUUCGUAGAUAUUAGCUAGAACACCAGUGGCGAAGGCGGCCAACUGGUCCGGUACUGACGCUGAGGUGCGAAAGCGUGGGGAGCAACAGG
rnacentral:rRNA from 1 species